rnacentral:rRNA from 1 species
AAUAGAUACCCCCGGUAGUCCUGGCAGUAAACGGUGCACGUUUAGUACGGGGAGGAUUCGACCCCUUCCGUGCUGGAGCUAACGCGUUAAACGUGCCGCCUGGGGAGUACGGUCGCAAGAUUAAAACUCAAAGAAAUUGACGGGGGCCCGCACAAGCGGUGGAGUAUGUGGCUUAAUUCGAUGCAACGCGAAGAACCUUACCUGGCCUUGACAUGCAUUUCUAAGUUGGUGAAAGCCAGCGAGUGUAGCAAUACACAACUUGCACAGGUGCUGCAUGGCUGUCGUCAGCUCGUGUCGUGAGAUGUUGGGUCAAGUCCCGCAACGAGCGCAACCCCUGUGAUUAGUUGCCACCAACCCGUGAGGGGUUGAGCACUCUAAUCAGACUGCCCUGUGAAACGGGGAGGAAGGUGGGGAUGACGUCAAGUCAGGAUGGGCCCCUUACGGCCAGGGCUGCACACGUACUACAAUGCCCAGUACAGAAAGAACCGAGACCGCGAGGUGGAGGAAAUCACGAAAACUGGGCCCAAGUUCGGAUCGCAGG